rnacentral:rRNA from 1 species
CCGGCGACCGGCGCACGGUGAGUAACACGUAUGCAACCUGCCCUCUUCAGGGGACGAACCUUCCGAAAGGGAGGCUAAUCCCGCGUAUAUCGGUUUCGGGCAUCCGAGAUCGAGGAAAGAUUCAUCGGAAGAGGAUGGGCAUGCGGCGCAUUAGCUAGACGGCGGGGUAACGGCUCACCGUGGCGACGAUGCGUAGGGGUUCUGAGAGGAAGGUCCCCCACACUGGUACUGAGACACGGACCAGACUCCUACGGAAGGCAGCAG